ACGGAAGGCAGCAGUGGGGAAUCUUGCGCAAUGGGCGAAAGCCUGACGCAGCGACGCCGCGUGCGGGAAGAAGGCCUUCGGGUUGUAAACCGCUUUCAGGAGGGACGAAGCCACUCGGGUUAAUACCCCAGAGGGUGACGGUACCUCCAGAAGAAGCCCCGGCUAACUACGUGCCAGCAGCCGCGGUAAUACGUAGGGGGCGAGCGUUGUCCGGAUUUAUUGGGCGUAAAGAGCGUGUAGGCGGCCAGGUAGGUCAGCUGUGAAAACUCGAGGCUCAACCUCGAGAUGUCGGCUGAAACCAUCUGGCUAGAGUCCGGAAGAGGAGAAUGGAAUUCCCGGUGUAGCGGUGAAAUGCGCAGAUAUCGGGAAGAACACCCGUGGCGAAGGCGGUUCUCUGGGACGGUACUGACGCUGAGACGCGAAAGCGUGGGGAGCGAACAGGAUUAGAUACCCUGGUA
rnacentral:rRNA from 1 species